rnacentral:tRNA from 1 species
AAUGAAGUGACAAUUUACAGGGUUACCUUGAUACGGUAAAUUAAGUAAUUUUAAUUACCUUCAUUA